GCCCAGAUGGUGGAAUGGUAUACACACUAGCUUGAGGUGCUAGGCUUGUAAUGAGCGUGCGGGUUCGAGUCCCGCUUUGGGCA
rnacentral:tRNA from 1 species